GAUGAACGCUGGCGGCGUGCCUAAUACAUGCAAGUCGAGCGAACAGACGAGGAGCUUGCUCCUCUGACGUUAGCGGCGGACGGGUGAGUAACACGUGGAUAACCUACCUAUAAGACUGGGAUAACUUCGGGAAACCGGAGCUAAUACCGGAUAAUAUAUUGAACCGCAUGGUUCAAUAGUGAAAGACGGUUUUGCUGUCACUUAUAGAUGGAUCCGCGCCGCAUUAGCUAGUCGGUAAGGUAACGGCUUACCAAGGCAACGAUGCGUAGCCGACCUGAGAGGGUGAUCGGCCACACUGGAACUGAGACACGGUCCAGACUCCUACGGGAGGCAGCAGUAGGGAAUCUUCCGCAAUGGGCGAAAGCUUGACGGAGCAACGCCGCGUGAGUGAUGAAGGUCUGCGGAUCGUAAAACUCUGUUAUUAGGGAAGAACAAAUGUGUAAGUAACUAUGCACGUCUUGACGGUACCUAAUCAGAAAGCCACGGCUAACUACGG
rnacentral:rRNA from 1 species